GGCGGCGUAGCUCAGUGGCUAGAGCAGAUGAUUCAUAAUCAUCGUGUCAAGGGUUCGAGUCCCUUCGCCGCCACCA
rnacentral:tRNA from 5 species